GACGAACGCUGGCGGCGUGCUUAACACAUGCAAGUCGAACGGAAAGGCCCUGCUUUUGUGGGGUGCUCGAGUGGCGAACGGGUGAGUAACACGUGAGUAACCUGCCCUUGACUUUGGGAUAACUUCAGGAAACUGGGGCUAAUACCGGAUAGGAGCUCCUGCUGCAUGGUGGGGGUUGGAAAGUUUCGGCGGUUGGGGAUGGACUCGCGGCUUAUCAGCUUGUUGGUGGGGUAGUGGCUUACCAAGGCUUUGACGGGUAGCCGGCCUGAGAGGGUGACCGGCCACAUUGGGACUGAGAUACGGCCCAGACGGCUACGGGAGGCAGCAGUGGGGAAUAUUGCACAAUGGGCGGAAGCCUGAUGCAGCAACGCCGCGUGCGGGAUGACGGCCUUCGGGUUGUAAACCACUUUCGCCUGUGACGAAGCGUGAGUGACGGUAAUGGGUAAAGAAGCACCGGCUAACUACGUG
rnacentral:rRNA from 1 species